UCCAGACUCCUACGGGAGGCAGCAGUGGGGAAUAUUGCACAAUGGGGGAAACCCUGAUGCAGCAACGCCGCGUGAGUGAAGAAGUAUUUCGGUAUGUAAAGCUCUAUCAGCAGGGAAGAAGAAAGACGGUACCUGACUAAGAAGCCCCGGCUAACUACGUGCCAGCAGCCGCGGUAAUACGUAGGGGGCAAGCGUUAUCCGGAUUUACUGGGUGUAAAGGGAGCGUAGACGGCAUAGCAAGUCUGAAGUGAAAGCCCGUGGCUCAACCGCGGAACUGCUUUGGAAACUGUUAAGCUGGAGUGCAGGAGGGGCAGGCGGAAUUCCUGGUGUAGCGGUGAAAUGCGUAGAUAUCAGGAGGAACACCGGUGGCGAAGGCGGCCUGCUGGACUGCGACUGACGUUGAGGCCCGAAAGCGUGGGGAGCAAACAGGAUUAGAUACCCUUGUAUUA
rnacentral:rRNA from 1 species